UAUCAGUCUGUGGAGACUGGAGAGAGAAGAGAGAUCUAGAGAGAGAGAGAGUGAAGAGAUGGAAGCAGAGAGCAGCAGACAUCCAUGUCCGGCGACCGAUUUCAACGCAUUGCCGGAGAAUUGCAUAGCGAACAUGUUGUCUCUGGCGAGUGCUCCAGAGACUUGCCGGCUUUCGUUGCUGGCGUCCACUUUCCGGUCGGCUGGGGAAUCUGACACAGUUUGGGAGAGAUUUCUGCCGUCAGAUUAUGAGGACAUCAUUGCCCGAGCUUCCGAUUCUUCUCCGCCGGUUUUCACAUCUAAGAAAGAGCUUUAUCUCAGCCUCUCCGAUCAUCCCCUCAUCGUCGAUGGUGGGACUAAGAGUUUUUCAUUGGAUAAAUGGAGUGGGAAGAAAUGUUUCAUGUUAGCUGCAAGAUCCCUCACAAUUGUUUAUGGUGAUACGCCUAUGUAUUGGAGAUGGAUUUCUCUACCCGAGUCCAGAUUCGCUGAGGUGGCAGAGCUUGUCGAUGUGUGUUGGCUUGAAAUUCGUGGGAGGAUAAGUACUCGGAUGAUAUCGCCUGACACAAACUAUGCAGCUUACAUUGUGUUCAAGUGGAUGAAAAGAGUAUAUGGAUUUGAAUUCCAACCAGUAGAGGGUUGGGUAGGACUUCGUGGGAGUGAAGAGGAAUUAAGGAGUUUUUAUCUGGAUCCUAAUGGAGGGCAGGGGCGUCGAACUCAUAUUUUACCAAGACGAAGAGGGCGAAUGGGGAUUUUCAACCGCACCCUUGCUAAGAUGCAGAGACCACAAGUCGCCAUGCCUAGUGAAAGCAGCGAUCAAUCUCCGAAGGAGAGAGGAGACGGGUGGUUGGAGAUGGAGUUGGGUGACUAUCUUUACAAGAGUGGAGAAGAUGGGGAACUAGAAAUAUGUUUGCAAGAAGUGAAGGGUGGCAACUGGAAAAGUGGCCUCAUUCUUCAAGGAAUUGAAAUCAGGCCAAAGAAUAGUAAAUAAAUGAAAAGGUAAUGUGCAAAACAACCCCUUGUUAUGUGUAGAAUGCAUACCCCCAUUCCCACACCCCUUACUUACAUUUCCCAAAAAAAAAAAAAAAAAACACUGAUUUCAGUUUUUAGGGGUAUUUUGGGGGGAUUUAUAAAUAAAAAAAGUUAGUCAAAUUUGACACUUGACAGAUAUUAGGUGCAAUUUGGGCAUAUUUUCAAAUGCUAGAGAUUUACAUGCACAUACUAAAGCAGGGUUGUAUUUUUGCACAUUAUUUAUGGUAUGAUUUUAUUUUUUUCACUGUACACUAAAUGAAAUCAAGAAUGUAUAUAUUUGUAUCCACUUUCCAUAAAAUGUAUAUAUUUGUAGCAACUUUCCAUUUUUUUGGAAUUGAAUUGGCUGUUGGAACUUGGUGCAUGUCCAUGCUAUGUGUGAUAUAUUAUGAUGUUUGAAUAGCAGAAAAUUUGAGCUAUGUCCGUCAGCAUAUUUUUGUUUUCAUAUGAUAUUUUUAAGUAAACAAGUUAUAUUAAGUUAAAUAAGUUGUCAGUCGAGAACACGAAAAAGUAUUAUGCACAUCAAAAUACUGGUAAAAUAAUGCUCCCAUACAAUAGGAAGUGAUUAUUUCUUGUAAACAAGAAAAAUGAUGAAUAUUUAUUUCCUGUCGCCAAAAGGACACGCAGUUAAAACUUACAUAUUUUUGUGACAAUGACACCCCCUUGAAGAAAUUUCGUCUAAACAAGGUCUUACAUCAUAUGAAAGGACAAAAUUAGUAACCUAUGAAUGCCCUAAUCUUAUAACCAUCGAACCACGGUAUGAAACGUCAACCCCAAACGCGACUAAUCGGACCCACAAUGUAUGGAGGCUUUGGGAAGCUCGGCCAAGGCGGUGGAGGGGGAUGGGUGGAGGCCGGGCGGGGGUGCGGCAGCCCGCAAGCACAACAUCCACUCCACAUUCAACGCACCACUCCCGGAAUUUGUCUCUUGGUCGGUAGCAGUGCUGGCCCUCGCAAUCGCAGCGGCGACCCCGGUGCCACCACCUCAGCCCCUCUGGCGGAGGAGGAGACGUUCAGUCUUGUCACCGGCAACCCUCUGAACUUCGCCAUGAUUAUACGGCUCGCGCCAAACCUCGUCGAGGAGAUCAAGCGCGUUGAGGCACAGGGUGGUACAACACGGAUCAAAUUCGACUCCAAUGGGAGUAAUUUGUCUAGGAACACAAGUUUCAUGAACCUUGCAUAAUUGGGUACACCGUAAAUAAUUCGAAUAUGGUCCUUUACUAGCAUAUAAUUCAAAAUGGUCCUUUACUUGGUUUUGUUUAUCCUCGAUAUUGAAAUUGAGGUCUUAAUUUGAUGCAUAGUUUGGUUUUGUACUUGGUUUUGUUACUGGAUUGAUUGUUUCGGCCUUAACACAAUGGUGAUUUGCAUUUUUAUUGCAAACUAUGGUUCAUAUGUUGAGAAUUUUCGUGGAUGUAUAUUUAUAUAUAUAGUCUAUAUUUCUAGCAUUUUGGCUGUACAUAUAAAUUGUUCAUAAGGAGAAGUGUUGUCUAAUUUAUUAACUUGUAAUUAUCAAAGGGCAAUUUUGUUAAUUUUUCAUGCCAGUUGACCUUAGGGGUGUCUUUGUUCACUUUUCAAUCUUUAAGGGGUGUCAUUGUCUCAAAAAUAGGUAAAUUUUAUCCGUAUGUCUUUUUGACAAAUCUAGGAGUGUUGUACUUUACCUAAAAAAACAAAUUUUGCCACCACCUACCAGUAUACCACCGCCACCACCCCUUGACCGCCAUUGUGAUGUCCUUGAUUUGUAUUUUUUUUAAAAUUUUUUUUUUUUAGCCGUUACUGUUUCUGUUUGUUUAAUUUAGUGGGGUAUUAUUUUGUUUAAAAGAAAGAAUGUAUAAUGUUAUGUGGCACUUGUAGGAGUUUAGUGGUGGCAGCAGUAACACUUGUCCUUAUGCAUGGGAUGAAGUUGCCAGGUGGUAUUCCCACUUACAUUAAAGCUUUUGGAAGAAGCUUAGUUGACUCAAAAGUCUUCGAGGCUUAGUGGAAAGUGUAUAUAUUUUUAUAUAAUAGUGUACAAAACCACAAACACACACACAUCACUUGGUCUCGGCUAGAGAGAGAGAGAGAGAGCGAGAGAGACUAGAGGGAGGAGGAAGGAGGAACCAGUGCCAUAAGGAGGUCCUCGUGGUGGUGAAAAGGGCGCGGUCCAGGAAUAAGGAUGGCAUUAGGUGGGUUUCUUUCACGGAGGCGUGGUAGUCCGCGGGAGACUGCUAUGUAUACAUUUUUUUUGUGCCAGCGGCUGUCUUUUGGUUCGGGUGAUAGAUUAUGCAUAUAAUGAACAGCCUAGUGGGGACUUGUGUGUAUCUCCUUUUGUGAUUGUAAUAUAACUUUUGGUUGUAUAUAAGGACUAUGGACUUAAUGAUCACGGGUAUGUUAGUUGUUGUUUAA